UACGUAGGGGGCAAGCGUUGUCCGGAAUCAUUGGGCGUAAAGAGCGUGUAGGCGGCUCGGUAAGUCCGCUGUGAAAGUCCAGGGCUCAACCCUGGAAUGCCGGUGGAAACUGUCGAGCUAGAGUCCGGAAGAGGCGAGUGGAAUUCCUGGUGUAGCGGUGAAAUGCGUAGAGAUCGGGAGGAACACCAGAGGCGAAGGCGGCGACCUGGACAAGUACUGACACUCAACUACGAAAGCGUGGGGAGCAAACAGG
rnacentral:rRNA from 1 species